rnacentral:rRNA from 1 species
GCUGCAGAAGAAGCACCGGCUAACUCCGUGCCAAGCAGCCGCGGUAAUACGGAGGGUGCGAGCGUUAAUCGGGAAUUACUGGGCGUAAAGCGCAUGCAGGUGGUUUGUUAAGUCAGAUGGUGAAAGCCCGGGGCUCAACCUCGGAAUUGCAUUUGAACUGGCAAACUAGAGUACUGUAGAGGGGGUAGAAUUUCAGGUGUAGCGGUGAAAUGCGUAGAGAUCUGAAGGAAUACCGGUGGCGAAGGCGGCCCCCUGGACAGAUACUGACACUCAGAUGCGAAAGCGUGGGGAGCAAACAGGAUUAGAUACCCUGGUAG